rnacentral:rRNA from 1 species
AACGAACACUGGCGGCGUGGAUUAGGCAUGCAAGUCGAACGAGAACAGUUCCUUCGGGAACCUAGUACAGUGGCGAACGGGUGAGUAACGGGUGGAAAACCUACCCUUCAAUGGGGGAUAACAGUUCUAACGAGCUGCUAAUACCGCAUACGACCUUUUGAUCGCAUGGUCGAUUGGUGAAAGGUGGCCUCUCUUUGAAGCUGCCGUUGAAGGAUGGUUCCGCCUCCCAUUAGCUAGUUGGUGGGGUAAUGGCCUACCAAGGCGACGAUGGGUAGCCGGCCUGAGAGGGUGUCCGGCCACACUGGGACUGAGAUACGGCCCAGACUCCUACGGGAGGCAGCAGUCGAGAAGCUUCCGCAAUGGGCGAAAGCCUGACGGAGCGACGCCGCGUGAACGAAGAAGGCCCUAUGGGUUGUAAAGUUCUGUCAGAUUGGGAAGAAAGCGUGACGGUUAAUACCCGUGACGUUUGACGGUACCAUCAGAGGAAGCACCGGCUAACUCCGUGCCAGCAGCCGCGGU